UACGGAGGGUGCGAGCGUUGUCCGGAUUUAUUGGGUUUAAAGGGUGCGUAGGCUGGGAGGUAAGUCAGCGGUGAAAAGCACACGCUUAACGGGUGUCUUGCCGCAGAUACUACUUUUCUUGGAUGAGGAGGAGGUCACUGGAACGGAUGGUGUAGCGGUGAAAUGCAUAGAUAUCAUCCAGAACACCGAUUGCGAAGGCAGGUGACUGUACCUUAAUCGACGCUGAGGCACGAAAGCGUGGGGAGCGAAC
rnacentral:rRNA from 1 species